rnacentral:rRNA from 1 species
CAGUGGCGAACGGGUGAGUAACACGUGAGCAAUCUGCCCUUGACUCUGGGAUAACUGCGGGAAACUGUAGCUAAUACCGGAUACGACCUGAAGAGGCAUCUUUUUGGGUGGAAAGAAUUUUGGUCAAGGAUGAGCUCGCGGCCUAUCAGCUAGUUGGUGAGGUAAUGGCUCACCAAGGCGACGACGGGUAGCCGGCCUGAGAGGGUGACCGGCCACACUGGGACUGAGACACGGCCCAGACUCCUACGGGAGGCAGCAGUGGGGAAUAUUGCACAAUGGGCGCAAGCCUGAUGCAGCAACGCCGCGUGAGGGACGAAGGCCUUCGGGUUGUAAACCUCUUUUAGUAGGGAAGAAGCGACUGGGUUUUCCUGGGAGUGACGGUACCUGCAGAAAAAGCACCGGCUAACUACGUGCCAGCAGCCGCGGUAAUACGUAGGGUGCAAGCGUUGUCCGGAAUUAUUGGGCGUAAAGAGCUCGUAGGCGGUUUGUCGCGUCUGCCGUGAAAACCCGAGGCUCAACCUCGGGCCUGCAGUGGGUA